GUGAAUCAUCGAAUCUUUGAACGCACAUUGCGCCCCCUGGUAUUCCGGGGGGCAUGCCUGUUCGAGCGUCAUUACAACCCUCAAGCUCUGCUUGGUGUUGGGCCCCGCCGCCCCGGCGGGCCCUAAAAUCAGUGGCGGUGCCGUCCGGCUCCGAGCGUAGUAAUUCUUCUCGCUCUGGAGGUCCGGGUGUGUGCUUGCCAGCAACCCCCAAUUUUUUUCAGGUUGACCUCGGAUCAGGUAGGGAUACCCGCUGAACUUAAGCAUAUCAAUAAGCGGAGGA
rnacentral:misc_RNA from 1 species